UACGUAGGGGGCUAGCGUUAUCCGGAAUUACUGGGCGUAAAGGGUGCGUAGGUGGUUUCUUAAGUCAGAGGUGAAAGGCUACGGCUCAACCGUAGUAAGCCUUUGAAACUGGGAAACUUGAGUGCAGGAGAGGAGAGUGGAAUUCCUAGUGUAGCGGUGAAAUGAGUAGAUAUUAGGAGGAACACCAGUUGCGAAGGCGGCUCUCUGGACUGUAACUGACACUGAGGCACGAAAGCGUGGGGAGCAAACAGGAUUAGAUACCCGUGUAGUCCCUGAG
rnacentral:rRNA from 1 species